GGACGGCCUCAGAACUGAAGUCGUCUUUUGAUACACUGCCAAGAGUCCUGAUCUUGCAUCUGAAGAGGUUUGGCUUUACACAAACCUACAACAUUAAGAAGGUGGAUGACCCCGUCAGGCUGCAGAGGGACUUGGUGGUGCCAUCCAAUCAGGGUGGUGGCUGUUAUAGUCUUGUCAGCAUCAUCAGUCAUUAUGGAGGCACAGAGUCAGGACACUACAUCUGUAGUUCUGUCCAUCCUGAGGAGAGUCAGCACUCUACAUCAGAUCGCUGGCUCACCUAUAAUGACGCACAGGUGCUCCACACAACCGGAUCGGCAGCUUGUGAGGAACAGCAGCACUCGGCCUACAU